rnacentral:rRNA from 2 species
UACGUAGGGGGCAAGCGUUGUUCGGAAUUACUGGGCGUAAAGGGCGCGUAGGCGGCAGGCCAAGUCGGGAGUGAAAGCCCGGGGCUCAACCCCGGAAUGUCUUUCGAAACUGGCCAGCUGGAGUGCGGAAGAGGCAACUGGAAUUCCCAGUGUAGCGGUGAAAUGCGUAGAUAUUGGGAAGAACACCUGAGGCGAAGGCGGGUUGCUGGGCCGACACUGACGCUGAGGCGCGAAAGCCAGGGGAGCAAACGGG